UAGAUACUAGAUUAUCGUUUAUAAGAUAUUUUUUUAGUACGGAUUUUGAUUAUUAAAAUUUUCAAAUUUCUUUAAAUCAUUUUCAACAUAUUUAGUCCUUAUAUUAUAAAAGAGGAGGUAAUGUGAAAGCGGUCACCUCCCGGUCGUCAGUUCAAAAACGAAAAAAAGUCCUUACGUUAACCUAAUAUUUUGAAAACUUAUAAAUAUUUUAGAACAUUAACAUAAGUAAAUUUUUGUUGUUUAUAAGUUUUAACUAUUUAAAUACAAAAUUUAAAACUUUUAAAUUUCUUAAUAAUUAAAAAAAAAUGGAGGGUUUAGGGGUUCAUCCCCCCACCCCUGAAAUAUUUUACAACUAAUAAAUUUAAUUUAUAUAAGUAACUUAAUUAUAAUAAUUCACCAUGUGGCCAUUUGGGCACCUAAUAAUAUAAAGACUAUGUUUGAUGGCGAUUUCUUUAAUACAGAUGCUGUGAAUUUUUAUUUUCACUCUCACUGUUUCUUUUACGGCCACUCAUAUUUAAUCUCGAUUUCUAUCAUUUGCAACUAUGUAACUAUGUACAUAAUAACAACAUCGUAACAACUGAUUGCUAAAAACAAUCACUAUACUCUAUAUUGACAUUUUCCCUCUGAAAUGAAAAUUCCUCUCAAAAUGUCUGAUUCACAUUCAUCAUUGAACUGGAAAUAUUUUACAAUAAGUGUUCCAGUUAUUGCGGUGUGCUUAGGACUAACGUACUAUUUUUUUCCUAAAAAAAGUUUGGGUAGCAAUAGUGAUUGUAACCAGAAUAAUAUCGGAAAAUUUGAAACUUUCAAACUACAACCUCGGCCCACACAACCACUACUACCACCACCACAGCUACAAUAGAAGCUAACACUGCCUCUUGUGGCAAAUUGCGUAAAAACUCCAACUGGUGAAAAAACUAACAAUAUAGCAAAGAACGCUUGAAUGAGCAGUUUAGUUUGUCCCAAAAGCUCUUUGGUGGUAUUUUAUGAGUUGUUCAAUGAUGUAUCAAUUCACUUACAAGAGCAUCGACUUCAUAAUGUUAGGAAUUAUACUCUCGAAAUUGAUGGUCAAAUCUAUUUUGGAAAUCAUAUUUCCAAGAUUCAAGCAAAACAGAAAGCAUGUGAAAACUUCUUGCGCAGUAUGUUGGACUAAUAUUGCAUAUAUGUACCCAAAUCAAUAAGUAUACAUACUUCAUAUUACGUAACAAAUAUUUACGAUACAAUUGAAAAUAAUUUAAAAAAUAAUAAGCUUACUAGAGUUUUUACACAAUUAUCUACAAGAGGCAGUGUUAGCUUCAGUUGUAGCUGUGGUGGUGGUAGUGGUGAUUGUGGGGGCGGAGGUUGUUGUUUGAAAGUUUCAAAUUUUUCGAUAUUAUUCAGGUUACAAUCACUAUUGCUACCUUUAAAAUAAAAUAAUUAAUAAUAGUUUAUUACUAAGUAUCAAAAUAAGAUUAAAUCAUCAUUAUUGUCUGGAAUAUAACAAGUAUAUUUACCAAUUUGUGUGCAAAUUAUACAUUAAAAAUUUAAAAAUAAAAUAAAGUGUAUUAAACGAUUUUUAAAAUUUUGAAUUAUUUUACUCAACUGUAAAUACACAGUUAUUACACUAUAAUCAACCCUAUAGAUUUGAGUAUUAGAUCUUAGAGUCUUAGACUAUAGCAGUGGUGGCUAUAAUUGCAGCCAAACAAACAUGUAUAGUUAGUGACUUCACAUAUCGCAAAGCGAUUUCACACUAACAACAGUUAUUGGUGUAUCAUUUAAAAACAAAUAAUUUUACUUGACAUAAGACAUUUUAUUAUUAAAAUACUUAUCAUUUUUAGUAAUUUAACGAUAAAAUUAAAGCAAACAUGUUCACGCUAUUUGCGUUUAUUGAUUACUAAGAUAUUUUGGUGUAUAUAUUAGCCACAUACGGAGUCACUAACGACAUGUUUAGCUGCAACUUUGGUUUUUUUCUACAAAUACACUCGCCUUGCCUAUCUAACCAUUAAUUUCCAAGCUCAUUUAGGGAUCAAUUUCUUAAUUAAAUUAUUAGGAGAAAAUAAUCGCUUCAUAAUUUGCAUUUACACCUAUAGAAACCUAUUUGUAUAAUAAUUCACCUGGGCUCACGCCCG